AAUCCACUUUGUUAUGUUGCCAAUGUACCUACCUCAUAGACCUGUAUUUCCUCUUUCCUCUUGUGGCUCUGGAUUUGAUCCAUGUUCCCAGUCUCCAGUAUAUCACAUUUCUCCAAGAUUUAUGGAUGUUUUCUCUGUCAGGAGCACUCGCUGGUGGAUUACCAGCAGCCUUGAGUUUCAACAACCUGAAACUGGUCUAGAAACUAGAGAAGAGAAACAACUAUGGCUAACACAUUCCAGAGACAUGAUGUCUAAAAGCAGAAGAGACUAAAGAUGUUUUCCUUGAAACCUAUGCGAAGUUAUCUUCCCUCCAUCCACAUGGCUCUCAGGAACUCAUAGCAAUGGCUCCACGGGAAAUUGAGCCUGAUUGGGGAUAUUUAGAGUUAAAUGUUACUGUGUUAAAGUGAGCCCUUUAGCAGAUGGCCAGAUAAAUUUGUUUUAUACAGUUUUCAAUGUCUGUCUUCAUUAUUCUUCUAAGAUGGUCUGAACCUAUUUGUCAUUUUCUGUGUUCUGACUCAGAAUACAGAAAUUGUGGGUAAACAUUAAAAGAAAAAAUCCUUUAAAAAUAUCUUUUUCUACUUCCUGCUCCUUUAGUUAUAAAGGUUUAAAAAGAAAAAGUAAACAGUUAUCCCCUAUUACUUGGAUCAGGGGACAGAAAGUUGCCUGGACCUAAAAAACAUUUUAGUCCCGUUGGUCUGCAAGGCUCUUACAAAUUCCAGUCUCUACACUGCACUCUCUUAAUAUGGCAGGUGGUUCUGGGAGUCAAACUGAACAACUCACAGAUGACUGUUUAACAGGUACACCUUUUGAGUAUGUCUUCCUCUCUUCUAGGUUCAGGACCUGUGCCUUAGAAUAGAGACAUCUGGGUUAAAGCAUUAAAGGGCUCUGUCAAAUGCUACAGAUGUGGGCGCUGGGGGGUCACCACAGUCUUCCUGGGAAUCCAGUCCCUGAUUAGCCUCAGCCCAUGAAGAGGCCCCUGAAGCAAGACAGCACAGGGAGCAGGGCAGGGGCAGCGAGAACCCAUACCACCCCAUGGUGUGGAUUUCCCUUGUGUUAUCGUAAGGAAACACUGGUAAGGCUUGUGAAAAUGCACACCUGAAAAACACAAGGGACUUUAUUUAUUGUUUAAAUUUUACUUUUGAUUAUUUUUUGAUAUCAAUUUUAUUGAGAUGUCAUUUCCAUAACACAUGAUUUACCCAUUUAAAGUGUAUGAUUCAGUGGUUUCACUAUUUGCAGAGUUGCUCAGCCAUGCUUUUGGGUCUUGCUCUGCUUUACAUUCUGC
rnacentral:lncRNA from 1 species